GGGUCAGAACAGGAAUAGCAGAGAGAGCUGCAGGGCAGGAUGGAGGGGUAGUGACAGAGCUGUGUGUGGGGUCAGUACAGGAAUAGCAGAGAGAGCUGCAGGGCAGGAUGGAGGUGUAGUGACAGAGCUGUGUGUGGGGUCAGUACAGGAAUAGCAGAGAGAGCUGCAGGGCAGGAUGGAGGUGCAGUGACAGAGCUGUGUGUGGGGUCAGUACAGGAAUAGCAGAGAGAGCUGCAGGGCAGGAUGGAGGUGCAGUGACAGCUGUGUGUGGGGUCAGUACAGGAAUAGCAGAGAGAGCUGCAGGGCAGGAUGGAGGUGCAGUGACAGAGCUGUGUGUGGGGUCAGUACAGGAAUAGCAGAGAGAGCUGCAGGGCAGGAUGGAGGUGCAGUGACAGAGCUGUGUGUGGGGUCAGUACAGGAAUAGCAGAGAGAGCUGCAGGGCAGGAUGGAGGUGUAGUGACAGAGCUGUGUGUGGGGUCAGUACAGGAAUAGCAGAGAGAGCUGCAGGGCAGGAUGGAGGUGCAGUGACAGAGCUGUGUGUGGGGUCAGUACAGGAAUAGCAGAGAGAGCUGCAGGGCAGGAUGGAGGUGCAGUGACAGAGCUGUGUGUGGGGUCAGUACAGGAAUAGCAGAGAGAGCUGCAGGGCAGGAUGGAGGUGUAGUGACAGAGCUGCGUGUGGGG